UUAAGCGACUAAGCGUACACGGUGGAUGCCCUGGCAGUCAGAGGCGAUGAAGGGCGUGCUAAUCUGCGAUAAGCGCCGGUAAGGUGAUAUGAACCGUUAUAACCGGCGAUACCCGAAUGGGGAAACCCAGUGUGAUUCGUCACACUAUCAUUAACUGAAUCCAUAGGUUAAUGAGGCGAACCGGGGGAACUGAAACAUCUAAGUACCCCGAGGAAAAGAAAUCAACCGAGAUUCCCCCAGUAGCGGCGAGCGAACGGGGAGGAGCCCAGAGCCUGAAUCAGCAUGUGUGUUAGUGGAAGCGUCUGGAAAGGCGCGCGAUACAGGGUGACAGCCCCGUACACAAAAGCGCAUGUGCUGUGAGCUCGAUGAGUAGGGCGGGACACGUGGUAUCCUGUCUGAAUAUGGGGGGACCAUCCUCCAAGGCUAAAUACUCCUGACUGACCGAUAGUGAACCAGUACCGUGAGGGAAAGGCGAAAAGAACCCCGGCGAGGGGAGUGAAAAAGAACCUGAAACCGUGUACGUACAAGCAGUGGGAGCCCCACCACCAAAGCAUUCUCUGGUGUUGAAGGCCCUGCAAAGCAGCAUCGCGGUGGCGGAGCGUCGUUUGCGACGCCCAACACACAAAACAAGCGGUGAGUGCUUUGGGGUGGGGUGACUGCGUACCUUUUGUAUAAUGGGUCAGCGACUUAUAUUCUGUAGCAAGGUUAACCGAAUAGGGGAGCCGGAGGGAAACCGAGUCUUAAUUGGGCGUUAAGUUGCAGGGUAUAGACCCGAAACCCGGUGAUCUAGCCAUGGGCAGGUUGAAGGUUGGGUAACACUAACUGGAGGACCGAACCGACUAAUGUUGAAAAAUUAGCGGAUGACCUGUGGCUGGGGGUGAAAGGCCAAUCAAACCGGGAGAUAGCUGGUUCUCCCCGAAAGCUAUUUAGGUAGCGCCUCGUGAAUUCAUCUCCGGGGGUAGAGCACUGUUUCGGCUAGGGGGCCAUCCCGGCUUACCAACCCGAUGCAAACUGCGAAUACCGGAGAAUGUUAUCACGGGAGACACACGGCGGGUGCUAACGUCCGUCGUGAAGAGGGAAACAACCCAGACCGCCAGCUAAGGUCCCAAAGUCAUGGUUAAGUGGGAAACGAUGUGGGAAGGCCCAGACAGCCAGGAUGUUGGCUUAGAAGCAGCCAUCAUUUAAAGAAAGCGUAAUAGCUCACUGGUCGAGUCGGCCUGCGCGGAAGAUGUAACGGGGCUAAACCAUGCACCGAAGCUGCGGCAGCGACGCUGAUGCGUUGUUGGGUAGGGGAGCGUUCUGUAAGCCUGCGAAGGUGGCCUGUGAGGGUUGCUGGAGGUAUCAGAAGUGCGAAUGCUGACAUAAGUAACGAUAAAGCGGGUGAAAAGCCCGCUCGCCGGAAGACCAAGGGUUCCUGUCCAACGUUAAUCGGGGCAGGGUGAGUCGACCCCUAAGGCGAGGCCGAAAGGCGUAGUCGAUGGGAAACGGGUUAAUAUUCCCGUACUUGGUGUUACUGCGAAGGGGGGACGGAGAAGGCUAUGUUGGCCGGGCGACGGUUGUCCCGGUUUAAGCGUGUAGGUGUGUGUUCCAGGUAAAUCCGGUUCACUUUAACACUGAGGCGUGAUGACGAGGCACUACGGUGCUGAAGCAACAAAUGCCCUGCUUCCAGGAAAAGCCUCUAAGCAUCAGGUAACAUCAAAUCGUACCCCAAACCGACACAGGUGGUCAGGUAGAGAAUACCAAGGCGCUUGAGAGAACUCGGGUGAAGGAACUAGGCAAAAUGGUGCCGUAACUUCGGGAGAAGGCACGCUGACACGUAGGUGAAGUGAUUUACUCAUGGAGCUGAAGUCAGUCGAAGAUACCAGCUGGCUGCAACUGUUUAUUAAAAACACAGCACUGUGCAAACACGAAAGUGGACGUAUACGGUGUGACGCCUGCCCGGUGCCGGAAGGUUAAUUGAUGGGGUCAGCGCAAGCGAAGCUCCUGAUCGAAGCCCCGGUAAACGGCGGCCGUAACUAUAACGGUCCUAAGGUAGCGAAAUUCCUUGUCGGGUAAGUUCCGACCUGCACGAAUGGCGUAAUGAUGGCCAGGCUGUCUCCACCCGAGACUCAGUGAAAUUGAACUCGCUGUGAAGAUGCAGUGUACCCGCGGCAAGACGGAAAGACCCCGUGAACCUUUACUAUAGCUUGACACUGAACAUUGAGCCUUGAUGUGUAGGAUAGGUGGGAGGCUUUGAAGUGUGGACGCCAGUCUGCAUGGAGCCGACCUUGAAAUACCACCCUUUAAUGUUUGAUGUUCUAACGUGGACCCGUUACCCGGGUUGCGGACAGUGUCUGGUGGGUAGUUUGACUGGGGCGGUCUCCUCCUAAAGAGUAACGGAGGAGCACGAAGGUUGGCUAAUCCUGGUCGGACAUCAGGAGGUUAGUGCAAUGGCAUAAGCCAGCUUGACUGCGAGCGUGACGGCGCGAGCAGGUGCGAAAGCAGGUCAUAGUGAUCCGGUGGUUCUGAAUGGAAGGGCCAUCGCUCAACGGAUAAAAGGUACUCCGGGGAUAACAGGCUGAUACCGCCCAAGAGUUCAUAUCGACGGCGGUGUUUGGCACCUCGAUGUCGGCUCAUCACAUCCUGGGGCUGAAGUAGGUCCCAAGGGUAUGGCUGUUCGCCAUUUAAAGUGGUACGCGAGCUGGGUUUAGAACGUCGUGAGACAGUUCGGUCCCUAUCUGCCGUGGGCGCUGGAGAACUGAGGGGGGCUGCUCCUAGUACGAGAGGACCGGAGUGGACGCAUCACUGGUGUUCGGGUUGUCAUGCCAAUGGCACUGCCCGGUAGCUAAAUGCGGAAGAGAUAAGUGCUGAAAGCAUCUAAGCACGAAACUUGCCCCGAGAUGAGUUCUCCCUGAGACUUAGAGUCUCCUGAAGGAACGUUGAAGACGACGACGUUGAUAGGCCGGGUGUGUAAGCGCAGCGAUGCGUUGAGCUAACCGGUACUAAUGAACCGUGAGGCUUAACCU
rnacentral:rRNA from 1 species